AUUGAACGCUGGCGGCAGGCCUAACACAUGCUAGUCGAACGAGUGGCGGACGGGUGAGUAAUGUCUGGGAAACUGCCUGAUGGAGGGGGAUCACUACUGGAAACGGUAGCUAAUACCGCAUACCAUCGGAUGUGCCCAGAUGGGCUUAGCUAGGAGGUGGGGUAAAGGCUCACAUAGGCGACGAUCCCUAGGUGGUCUGAGAGGAUGACCAGCCACACGGGAACAGAGAGACGGACCAGAGAGCAACGGGAUGCAGCAGAGGGGAAUAAUGCACAAUGGGCGCAAGCCUGAUGCAGACAUGCCGCGUGUAUGAAGAAGGCCUUCGGGUUGGAAAGUACUUUCAGCGGGGAGGCGUUACCCGCAGAAGAAGCACCGGCUAACUCCGUGCCAGCAGCCGCGGUAAUAC
rnacentral:rRNA from 1 species